UACGUAGGGGGCAAGCGUUGUCCGGAAUCAUUGGGCGUAAAGCGCGCGUAGGCGGCCCUGUAAGUCCGUUGUGAAAGUCAAAGGCUCAACCUUUGAAAGCCGAUGGAUACUGCAGAGCUUGAGUACCGGAGAGGAUGGUGGAAUUCCCGAAGUAGAGGUGAAAUUCGUAGAUAUCGGGAGGAACACCGGUGGCGAAGGCGACCAUCUGGACGGAUACUGACGCUGAGACGCGAAAGCGUGGGUAGCAAACAGG
rnacentral:rRNA from 1 species